AGAGUUUGAUCAUGGCUCAGGAUGAACGCUAGCGGGAGGCCUAACACAUGCAAGCCGAGCGGUAUUGUUUCUUCGGAAAUGAGAGAGCGGCGUACGGGUGCGGAACACGUGUGCAACCUGCCUUUAUCUGGGGGAUAGCCUUUCGAAAGGAAGAUUAAUACUCCAUAACAUAUUGAUUGGCAUCAAUUAAUAUUGAAAGCUCCGGCGGAUAGAGAUGGGCACGCGCAAGAUUAGCUAGUUGGUGAGGUAACGGCUCACCAAGGCGAUGAUCUUUAGGGGGCCUGAGAGGGUGAUCCCCCACACUGGUACUGAGACACGGACCAGACUCCUACGGGAGGCAGCAGUGAGGAAUAUUGGUCAAUGGGUGCAAGCCUGAACCAGCCAUCCCGCGUGAAGGACGACUGCCCUAUGGGUUGUAAACUUCUUUUGUAUAGGGAUAAACCUACCCUCGUGAGGGUAGCUGAAGGUACUAUACGAAUAAGCACCGGCUAACUCCGUGCCAGCAGCCGAGGUAAUACGGAGGGUGCAAGCGUUAUCCGGAUUUAUUGGGUUUAAAGGGUCCGUAGGCGGACUUAUAAGUCAGUGGUGAAAGCCUGUCGCUUGACGAUAGAACUGCCAUUGAUACUGUAAGUCUUGAGUAUAUUUGAGGUAGCUGGAAUAAGUAGUGUAGCGGUGAAAUGCAUAGAUAUUACUU
rnacentral:rRNA from 1 species